rnacentral:rRNA from 1 species
AGUGAACGCUGGCGGUAGGCCUAACACAUGCAAGUCGAACGGCAGCACAGGAGAGCUUGCUCUCUGGGUGGCGAGUGGCGGACGGGUGAGGAAUACAUCGGAAUCUACUCUGUCGUGGGGGAUAACGUAGGGAACCUUACGCUAAUACCGCAUACGACAUACGGGUGAAAGCAGGGGAUCUUCGGACCUUGCGCGAUUGAAUGAGCCGAUGUCGGAUUAGCUAGUUGGCGGGGUAAAGGCCCACCAAGGCGACGAUCCGGAGCUGGUCUGAGAGGAUGAUCAGCCACACUGGAACUGAGACCCGGUCCAGACUCCUACGGGAGGCAGCAGUGGGGAAUAUUGGACAAUGGGCGCAAGCCUGAUCCAGCCAUACCGCGCGGGUGAAGAAGGCCUUCGGGUUGUAAAGCCCUUUUGUUGGGAAAGAAAUCCAGCUGGCUAAUACCCGGUUGGGAUGUCGGUACCCAAAGAAUAAGCACCGGCUAACUUCGUGCCAGCCGCCGCCGUAA